UGAGUAACCUGCCCUUAACUCUGGGAUAGGCCUGGGAAAUUGGGGCUAAUACCGGAUAUGACCGCUGACCGCAUGGUCUGGUGGUGGAAAGAUUUAUCGGCUGGGGAUGGGCCCGCGGCCUAUCAGCUUGUUGGUGAGGUAAUGGCUCACCAAGGCGACGGACGGGUAGCCGGCUGAGAGGGUGACCGGCCACACUGGGACUGAGACACGGCCCAGACCUCCGUACGGGGAGCAG
rnacentral:rRNA from 1 species